rnacentral:rRNA from 1 species
GACGAACGCUGGCGGCGUGCCUAAUACAUGCAAGUAGAACGCUGAAGGAGGAGCUUGCUUCUCUGGAUGAGUUGCGAACGGGUGAGUAACGCGUAGGUAACCUGCCUGGUAGCGGGGGAUAACUAUUGGAAACGAUAGCUAAUACCGCAUAAUAGUAGAUGUUGCAUGACAUUUGCUAAAAAGGUGCAAUUGCAUCACUACCAGAUGGACCUGCGUUGUAUUAGCUAGUUGGUGAGGUAACGGCUCACCAAGGCAACGAUACAUAGCCGACCUGAGAGGGUGAUCGGCCACACUGGGACUGAGACACGGCCCAGACUCCUACGGGAGGCAGCAGUAGGGAAUCUUCGGCAAUGGACGGAAGUCUGACCGAGCAACGCCGCGGGAGUGAAGAAGGUUUUCGGAUCGUAAAGCUCUGUUGUAAGAGAAGAACGAGUGUGAGAGUGGAAAGUUCACACUGUGACGGUAGCUUACCAGAAAGGGACGGCUAACUACGUG